rnacentral:rRNA from 1 species
AUUGAACGCUGGCGGCAUGCCUUACACAUGCAAAGUCGAACGGGUAACGCGGGGGCGAACCCUGGCGACGAGUGGCGAACGGGUGAGUAAUACAUCGGAACGUACCCAGUAGUGGGGGAGUAGCUCGGCGAAAGCCGGAUUAAUACCGCAUACGACCUAUGGGUGAAAGCGGGGGAUCGCAAGACCUCGCGCUAUUGGAGCGGCCGAUGUCGGAUUAGCUAGUUGGUGAGGUAAAGGCUCACCAAGGCUACGAUCCGUAGCUGGUCUGAGAGGACGACCAGCCACACUGGGACUGAGACACGGCCCAGACUCCUACGGGAGGCAGCAGUGGGGAAUUUUGGACAAUGGGCGCAAGCCUGAUCCAGCCAUGCCGCGUGUGUGAGGAAGGCC